AGGGGAGGCAAAGAAGAAAAACACAUCUGGCCAAAAAAGACAAAAGCUUCUUCUGAAGUACACUUGAAAUAUGAACCAUGCCAUCCACUUAGACUGGAAACUGUUGUCCUAAAUUCUGACCCAUCUUCCCCCUGAAGGAGGAGCUCAACAGCAACUCAAACUGCAGCUGCGAGACUCCAA